UCAAUGCCAUAUCAGUCACCACAUCAAAACUGUUGAGAUUAAAUGAGGUCAGCUCUGGUUGCACUGUGUAAAAACAUAAUGUGUUUGCAGACAGAUGCAGAGAGUGGUUUCAUACACAUAUACUAUGGUCAGUGGUGUUAUACUUAAGGUGCACUGUCCAAUUGCAUUGUUAUGUAUAAAUAACAUAUUUUUACAUUGUUGGAUGGAUAAUUGUUUGUUAAACAAAAUAAAAUGUAUUUUGACUUAUUCUUUUACUUAUUGUAGACAAUGUCAGCUAAUUGUUCACAUGCUCUUUAUAUGUUUAAUGAAAUUAAUGAAUCUAUUUUUUAGGGGGGGAUUGUAAGUCUUGUAUUUGUGUUUCCAUGUAUGAAAUGUACAUUUUUUAUAAAAAGUUAACAUGUAUAAUGAUAAUAAUCGGUGGCUGAAUUGAUCCGUCAUAAUGUUAUUAGAGCUGGGUUUUGUUAAGAUGCACUUUUGUAUUGGAUGUUGUAAGUAAUUGAAAUUGUCACUAUGCUGAAUUUCUUCCACAGAAGAAUGAGAGAUGUGACUCGAAGAUUUAUUAGGCAUACGUAUGUAUUAUAUAUCCUGUUCAACACUCAGUGUCCUAUAGAGCCACACACGCACCACAAACCACUAUUAAGGACUGUGGAUUAUGAUUAAUCAACCCAUUGUUGAAUGUGUAAGUAUAUUUCACACUCUUAAAUGUUUGUUAUAGAGUAUGAUCUACUCAUUCACCGAAGGGACUUCUAUGUUUCACUAAAAUCCAAGCACAUUAAAGAUUUUAUGACUUUGUUUAUCCUUUUUACAGUCCAGAACAGCCGCGGUAUCCAAACGGUUGUGCAGAUGUGGGAGGAGCAUUUAACCUCAUUGAAACAUAACAAACUGCCAAGGAACAAAGAACCUGUGCUGUAUCCUGCAGUCAUGAUUGGAUCUCUGGAUCAGAGUUGGAGGUGACAGUCAGAGCAGGAGACAACAUCACUCUCUACUGUGACUGCAAGUUAUCAAGUGGAGUUUACGUAGUGUGGUACAGGAACUGCUCUCAUGACAACCAGCCUAUUCUUGUCCUUAAAAGAACUUCAUGGCCAAAAACCACUACGAUUGAAAACUUCCUGAAUCCCCUCCCUCGUUUCCACUUUGUGAGAAACUAUUCCUCUGACUCCUACGACCUGCUGAUCAGUAACAUCACUGACUCUGAUGAUGGCCUCUACUACUGUGGAACUGAAGAGAAUAAGCUGGAGGAUGAACAAUACAUUACUAGCAGAUCUGUUUACCGAUAUGGCAACACAACAAAAAGGAUCUUAUUCAAUUCCAGCUCUGAAUCCAGUGGAUGCAUUUUGAACCCUGGUGUGUCCUGGAUUAUGCUGUUCACUCCAGCCUUCACUAUUCUCUCCUCCUCCAUCUCCUUUAUUUUGGUGUAUCACUUCUUUCAGAAAACAGAUAAGGAACCUCAAAUUCUCCAGAAAAGAUUUGACAUCAGGGCACAAACAAGAUUGGAUCAGGAUGAAGAUGUGUGUUUCACAAGAGUUGUGUUCCGAGCUACGGAUGGACAAACACACCAAUAGGCAGAGAAUGGACAGCACAAGCACAUUUGCUUUAUUCAAGCAGAAACCAAAUAAAAUGCAAUGAGUUCAAAUUCAUCUCCACAGUUUAAGUUGUUUUUCUGUCCAGUUGCUGUCCUGUGCUUUAAGACACGUGCCAAUCUGUUAUCAGGUUUAUAAUCAUCCAGACAGCAACAAUCUCUUUUUUUUGUUGACAAAUAUGUUACAUAUACAUUUUCACAACCUGUGUAAUUAGUUUUACAUCAUUCUUUAUCUUUUAUUAGUUAACAUCAAGUGUGUACUGUUUUACGUUUAGGACAUGUA